ensembl:lncRNA
AGCUGAAAGCCUUCUACUGCAGCUCUCCAUCUCGCCACUGUCAUGGGACGCUUGCGCGGAACGCUGAGUCAACCUUUCGACAGGCUGCGAAACAGUUUAGAGCGGCGGAUGAAAUUAAGAUCACAACCUGCAUCCUCCCUCGCUUGUCUCAAGGUUUUAAGGGCGGUUAACGCCAGACCCCAGGUCCACCUCCCCUGCCAAGCAGUUCAUCCACACUCCUCAAUUCUGGAUGGGAAUGACACGUGUGCGCCAUUGCGAAAAAUGACAAAGACGUAUUCAUCUGGCAGUCCACACAAAACAGAAUAGUCCCACUUACCCUUCCAUUACUCCACUAAAAAGUGAUGUACCAGUCCAUUAAAACAACUCUGCAUCUUUGUUUUUCAGUCUCUCUCAUCCCUUCAUUUUAGCAAAGUGCACGUGAAGCAUCUGUGAACAAUGCUUUCUUGAGCUUGUAAAUGUCAUCAGUAACGAUUUUUUUUUUUAGCGUUUCUCAGUGCACCUCAUAAACCACCCUCCAUCUCCCCUCCAGCCCCCCAUCCCUGCUGGUUGUCCUCGAAGAAGUUGAGCGUUACAUCCGCCAUCCAGAGAUUUUACAGUGGAUUCUUUAUCUGUAUAAACAAAGCAGGUAAUGGUGGCUGUUUAUUGUACAACGUGCCCCCAUGCUUACUUUUAUGUCCUUAUUGCUUGCAUACCAGUUGCCUUGUUUAUGUGUCUGUGUUCCCAGCCAUUGCCCUUGAACUUAACCCCCGUCACCCCUGCCAGUUUCCCACCACCUUCUCCCAGCUCCAACCAUGACUCCUCCUUCACCGAAUCGCUCAACCCCCCUUUCUGUCAAGGACUGUGAAUGCUAGAGAUACAGAAAGAGGGAGAGAGCAGUGGUGCACCACAAUUUUUGAGAACCUCUGCGAACCAUAAGGUGAAGCUCCACCCAUAAGCAGUGACAUCAUGCAUAAGCAUUUGUAUCAGGGGGAAAUAAUAUCACAGACGAACACAGACAGGUGAUAUUAUAGACAUACAAUAUUAUAGUGAGAGUGAUACUAUAGACAUGGAUGGAAGCAAUUCUGCAAUUGAAACACUUUUUAAAAGUUUCCUCUGUAUCACUAGCUUCCUCAACACUGAGCUAUUCAUGCAGCUUUUUAUGCUGAGUAAACUCUCUUUAGAUAACCAUAAUAUAAUGGGCUCAGAACACUGUGAAGAGGCCCCCACGUAGACUUGGGGACUGUGGGGGUGUCCCGUACACCAAUGAGAGAUGAGCAUUUGAUGUCUUGGUGGUAAGAUGGUAAUUAAUACAAAGAUGAGGAGUCAUGUACUGAAUAUUCCAGUAGAGUGACAAGGCCACCGGUGACAAGCUUUCGCUCACAUGAAAAGAAAGAAAGAAUGAAAAGAAACAAGCAGGGAAAGGGGGGAGCAAGAAAGAGAGAGUGAAAAAGAAACAGAACAACGUGACAUCCCCCGUCCAGAGCUCGAGGAUUAACGAUGAAAAGAAACAAAAGGACAACAGUAAACAAAAGAGUAGAGGGUAAAGGGGGCUCCCCUGAUUUCUCUUCCCACUCAAGGAGGAAGACAGCAAACGAGAGAGGGGCUCCUCUUUUGGGACGGACACAUAUGGAUCUAUAUGCAUGCAUACAGUGGCCUGGUAUUGUGAAUCAAGCAGAGCUAAAUCAAUGUCAGAGCUCAAUCAAUAUUUAGUCCCCCUUGCUCUCCUGCACUUGGCUUCACCUUCCCCAUGCUAACAUCACCAGGAUUUUCACAUGUGGGUCAAUACACACCAACUAGCCACGACCGAGCAGUAAAUCUAUUAACCUGCCCGUGUUUUAGUGAGAAAGAGGAGGAAAAACUACUGAGAGGUAUAAACAAAGACAAGAAGAAUGAAUCCAGUUCAAACUGAGAGCAUGCAGGUGUUGAGUGUCAGUAAAUACUUAAGCUAUAGGGGAGUCUUUCAGUGAUGGUGUCAUAUGUUGGCGCCUAGAACAGGGACUCUGGACAAUGUCUGUGUCGGUGUUGAAAAGCAGCAGGUUUGAUUUGGUUUGGUCUGGGGGUUGCGUGCAUUUGGACGUGUGGUAUUAGGGAGUUGUUACCGCUUCCCUUUAAAGUUAUCUGUGCUUACCAGCGGCAUAUGGGUUGGCCUGUCUCUCCAGCCUUGGGCUGUAGACUCAACAACACUGCUUGUUAGUGACAUCUGCUGGGAAGAGCUGCCCCUCUUGUCCUUAGGCCCUUACUCAAGCGAGUCCAGCCCAUCAACACACCCUCAACUUCCCCCAACUUCCCACCCCAUAUGUACUUUUAUUACUGGGCAAUGUGUGCUCCUUCCCGCAUGAACAUAAUGACUUCUUCUCCUCGUUCCAUAACCUAUUCCCCUGUCCUGUCUCCAAUCCUCAUACCAGAGUAAGGUAGAAGUGUCUGCAUUCCUGGGACUUUUCCCUCCUGUCCUGUCCAAACCUGUCCAGAUUCAGAAACAGUGCAAAUGCAUGCUAAGUAUGUGAGAAGACUAACAUGAAAGAGAGUUUAUGCAAGAGUGUGUACAUGAGGGUGUUCUGUCGUACAUCAAUAUGCUAUUGUGCAAGGAAUGUUUUUUUUUUUUUUUUUUUUACACACGCUCACCACCUUGUUUGAUUUCCAUUGAAAUAUCUUUGGAAGCACAAAAACUGUGUGAACAGUUGUUUAAGAACCCUACUUGUCUGUGUAACAAACAAACUUGCGUGCAUUUCCAAACCAUUUCCACAAGUACCAAGGUGCGUUCAUCCUUCUAGCUUCUUAGCUUUGCCUUUUCACUACACCUCCCACUGGAUGCUGAAUAAAUUGUCAUUAUAUGAUAGCA